GUGCUCGCUUAGGCAGCACAUAUAUUAAAAUUGGAAUGAUACAGAAAGAUUAGCAUGGCCCCCGUUCAAUGAUGACAUGCAAAUUCGUGAAGCAUUCCAUAUUUAA